rnacentral:rRNA from 1 species
AUGAAUACAGUAAGAACUUUGAUAUCUUGUGCAGCUAAUCUUGGAUGGAAUUUGUUUCAGAUGGAUGUAAAAAAUGCAUUCUUACAUGGAGACCUUCAGGAGGAAAUUUAUAUGCAUAUACCACCAGGUUUCAACACGGUACAAACUAAAGGAAAGGUCUUGAAACUCCGCCGUUCACUGUAUGGCCUAAAACAAUCUCCUCGUGCGUGGUUUGGUCGGUUUAGAAAAGCUAUGCUGAAAUUGGGUUUCAGCCAGAGCAAUGCCGACCAUACUUUAUUUUAUAAAAGAUGUGGUGGAAAAUUGACGAUAUUAAUUGUCUAUGUUGAUGAUAUUGUUAUUACAGGAGAUGAUGAUCAAGGUAUUGAAAGAGUGAAGCAACAUUUGAGGAACGAGUUCGAAGUCAAGGAUCUAGGAGAAAUGAGGUACUUUCUUGGAAUUGAAGUCUCACGAAGCUCAAGAGGUAUCUAUCUAUCUCAAAGAAAAUAUGUGCUAGAUCUCUUGUCAGAAACUGGUAUGUCUGGGUGUCGUCCAGCAUUAACACCAAUUGAACAAAACCACCGAUUGACUAGUGAGUCAGGGGAACCUGUUGACCGGGAACAAUAUCAGAGACUUGUUGGCCGUUUGAUCUAUUUAUCGCAUACUCGUCCUGAUAUAGCUUUUGUCGUAAGCGUGGUGAGCCAGUUUAUGCAUAGUCCUAAAACUCACCACAUGGAUGCAGUAAAUCGAAUCAUUUGGUAUUUAAAGGGGUGCCCAGGUCGAGGUUUUUGUAUAAGUCAAGUGGCAAUUUACAAAUAG